rnacentral:rRNA from 1 species
GACGAACGCUGGCGGCGUGCUUAACACAUGCAAGUCGAACGGAAAGGCCCUGCUUUUGUGGGGUGCUCGAGUGGCGAACGGGUGAGUAACACGUGAGUAACCUGCCCUUGACUUUGGGAUAACUUCAGGAAACUGGGGCUAAUACCGGAUAGGAGCUCCUGCUGCAUGGCGGGGGUUGGAAAGUUUCGGCGGUUGGGGAUGGACUCGCGGCUUAUCAGCUUGUUGGUGGGGUAGUGGCUUACCAAGGCUUUGACGGGUAGCCGGCCUGAGAGGGUGCCCGGCCACAUUGGGACUGCGAUACGGCCCAGACUCCUACGGGAUGCAUCAGUGGAGAAUAUUGCACGAUGGGCGGAAGCCUGAUGCAGCAACGCCGCGUGCGGGAUGACGGCCUUCGGGUUGUAAACCGCUUUCGCCUGUGACGAAGCGUGAGUGACGGUAAUGGGUACAGAAGCACCGGCUAACUUCGUG